rnacentral:rRNA from 1 species
AGAAUGAACGCUGGCGGCAGGCCUAACACAUGGCAAGUCGAGCGAAGCUUCGGACUUAGCGCGGACGGUGAGUAACGCGUGGGAACAUACCCUUUUGGACGGAAUAGCCUCGGGAAACUGGGAGUAAUACCGGUAUGUGCCCUUCGGGGGGAAAAGAUUUUAUCGCCAAAGGAUUGGCCCCGCGUUGGAUUAGGUAGUUGGUGGGGUAAUGGCCUACCCAAGCCGACGAUCCAUAGCUGGUUUGAGAGGAUGAUCAGCCACACUGGGACUGAGACACGGCCCAGACUCC